UGCCAGCCGCCGCGGUAAUACGGAGGGUGCAAGCGUUAAUCGGAAUCACUGGGCGUAAAGCGCACGCAGGCGGUUUGCUAAGUCAGAUGUGAAAGCCCCGGGCUUAACCUGGGAAUUGCAUUUGAUACUGGCAAACUAGAGUAUGGUAGAGAGAAGUGGAAUUCCGCAUGUAGCGGUGGAAUGCGUAGAGAUGCGGAGGAACAUCAGUGGCGAAGGCGACUUCUUGGACCAAUACUGACGCUCAGGUGCGAAAGCGUGGGGAGCAAACAGGAUUAGAUA
rnacentral:rRNA from 1 species